ensembl:lncRNA
CAGGUUCUGCAAAUGCUCAGUCUUGAGUUCAACCUGUGAGGGCAAGACUAAGUCUAGAUUGAUAUUUUGAAAAUGGGCCCUUCUACUGUGCCGCGUUGCCCUCACCAUGUCAACCUAGCCAUCCUCUCAAGGCUCCUUCUGUUGGGGAGGGGAAAAAACUUUUUUUUUCCAGGUUAGCUGUCUGUAGUAAGUAAUCAGAGGUCCUCCCGGGAUGGUUUUAAGUUUAUGCCUUUAGUUUAUACUUUGUUCUCAUUUUCACUUGCUCAUCUGGGUUUUUGUUUUGGUUUGCUGUUGGGUGAGUCUCAGACCUCAUACCUCUAAAGCCUACCUCCCCUUUUCAUUUUAGUCUUCCAUGUGAUGCACUAGUAAUGCAUUUGCUUUCUAACCCAGAAGUCAUGAGUUUGACUCCAAUAGCAGGCAAUGUUUAUUUUGUGCAUUUUUGGAGAAUACUUUUUCAGUUUGAAACAUUCCUCCAUAACCUCUGCAGAGUAUGUUGGCUUGAGCUUAAUAUAUCUUUCCCUUUUUGCUGGUUUCUGUUCAGCCUCCUUAUCUGAUCUGCACUUGGGUUCUAUCUAUUAAGUUUUGGUUGUGGCUCACUCAGUUUGCUCAGGUCUCCAGUAUACUGUGGCCUGGGUUGAAUGUGGUGUGGGGUGGGUCACCACAUCAUGCAUACACAAUGACAAAGAAAUCAAUGUUAAAUCACUGAUUUGUACAGAAACGUGUUUUGCAAUAGCCUCUGGUAUUCCAAUUACAUUAAUAUUGUGAUGCAUUUAUGUAUGUUUUAAAUAGGCUUUUCCUGAAGAACUGAAGGACUGAGUUUUCUAGGAGUUUGUUUGGAUUCACGCUGAAAUUGCCUGUCAUUUUUUAUAUAAUGUUAAGAGCUGCAAACAAUAAGCAGAAAAAGGGGCUGCUUAAUUGUACACGAAGACAUCAAUCGGGGUCUUUAAGGAAACAGCUGAAUGGUGCUUCUAUGCCAGACGUCAUGUCUAUCCAUGGUCUUUACUGACAUGUCAGCCAGACACAGAAUGUGUUCUUCCUGAUAAUGAGUGGUGGUGUGAGCUAGAGGGACUUGCUGUGUAUUUAAAAAUUGUGGCCUUCGAAUGUGUGUAAUGAAAGUGUAAAGUUAGCUAUAUAACUUUGUGAUGUACACCCAUGAGUCAUAACUGUUUAACAUUUGGUCCUCCACUAUGCUUGUUAAACCUGGUACUAUACUAGCUACUAUAGACUAAUUGGGCACAUGCAGUAUGGUAAUUAAUCACUGGUCAAAAACUAAUUACAUGCAUCUUUGCUGAUGAACAUUGUUUAUUCAGUGUGACAUGCUGUCAGUGUAUAAGAUGAAGCAUUUUUAAAAGUAUUUAUGUAAAAUCCCACCCCCUCCUAAAAAAAUGAAUAUUUUUUUCAAUAACACUUAAUAAAAAAAAAUACUUUCCUUUAAUGGCCAAACAGAUUAAACAUGUAAACAAGAACAGUAUUUAAAACCUUCUGUACAAUAAUGAUUCAUUGCAUGUUAAUGCUAAUUUGUAUUGUAUGCACUGCUACCUUUGAGAAUAAAUGUAAUGUACUAUGUAACCCUGAAGUAUAUGGAUUUUUAUCAUAUACGUGUGGAAACUCAACUGUAUUGCAUCUGAAAAUGUUUCUUCUACUUCGAAUCAUUUACUUGAC